CGGAGGGACCCGAGGGUGAUCGCCGGGUGAAGAAGUUCCUUCUUCCACUUCCUCCCUCCUUGCAACCUGCUGUUCUGAUACUCACAUUUGCCCAUCCUUCCCUGCUGUUCGCCUUGGCCUGACUUCCCUUUGCCUCAGGCACCGUUCUCCGCCACGGGUCCAGAGCCAUGCAAGCCAUCAAGUGUGUGGUGGUGGGAGAUGGGGCUGUGGGAAAAACCUGUCUCCUUAUCAGCUAUACCACCAAUGCCUUCCCAGGAGAAUACAUCCCCACUGUGUUUGAUAACUAUUCUGCCAACGUGAUGGUUGACAGCAAGCCUGUAAAUCUGGGGCUGUGGGAUACUGCUGGACAAGAGGAUUACGACAGGCUGAGGCCACUCUCUUACCCGCAGAC